GCUGGGCACAGUGGUGCAUGCCUGUAAUCCCAGUGGCUCAGGAGGCUGAGACUGGAGGAUCAUGAGUUCAAAGCCAGCCUCAGCAACUUAGAGAGGCUCUAAGCAACUCAGGGAGACCCUGUCUCUA
rnacentral:sRNA from 1 species